GCUUAUUCAACAUAAACUCUCCUUAACACAAUCUCAUUUGACCCACAUCCAUAAGCUAUUGUCAGUCCCCAAAGAGAAAGCAUCUCUGGACCUUUAUUAACCAAUUUGUGAUGCGUAGGGCGCGUAGGAUUCCGAACUCAGUGGAAAACUUCAGCGGUGCGCGCAUUUGAAAAGUGGGAAACACGCAGCAAUGACUUUGAACCAAGGAUGCGAGGAAGUUUUUUCGAGGAAGCACACAUUUGGCAAAGUGUCGCCAGGCUUGAAAAUGAAAAUCAACAAUGCAAUUUGUUUUGGUUCCCCCUGCUGUUUGUUACGAUUGAAAAAGGGCAAAAAAAGCCGGCUAAAAACUUUAAGCGCCAGGCAAAAGUUGGGCCCAGCCACGCCUUCAACUUUACAAAGAUUGCACACAGGCAAAUGUGAGGCGAAAGUUGAAAGUUGAAAGUUGCGAGGAUUCGAGAAUACGAGGAUACGAGGAUACGAGAAGCAGCCAAGGACAGCCCGGAAAAAGUUGCAACAAAAUGCAUUGUGUUCAUAAUAAUGGAAUAAUAAACCGAAGCGACUGGGCUCAGAUUGAGGUCCUCACCCUUAUCUUUGGGCUCCUCAGGUUUGUCCUUGGCUGAUUUGCGGAACAGUCAAACUUCGGUCACUGCAACACUCCAGAUAUAAAAUGUCUGUUCUUCCAAUCAAAUUUUAUAACUGAAUUUUUAAAACACACCAUCGCCAACUUUCCAAAACCUUGCCAACCUUGGAUUUAAAAUCAUAGAGAACAAAUUUGACUACUAAAGGAAACAACAAUGAAAGUCAAAUGAACAGCAACACGUUGACACAUCCCCACAUCCUGUUGCAGUCUCAUUUCCGAAGUAGCAGUUUCGUACUUACCGGAUAUCUCUGCAAACGCUGCACGAAUGCAUGGAGCAUCCUUACAUUUAUCACAUUGGAAGUAAUACAUAUGUAUGUACAAAUGUACUUUAAUAACACAAAUUGUAUAAAAAUCCUAGUCACUGAUAAGAAAACUUGUAAAACGCGCACACAGCAUCAGCUGUUCAAUGAAACUAGUUGGCAGCUCCGUUGUCUAGAGAUGAGCAAAAGUUGUUUUGGA